GACACGCAACACGCUCCAAAUACGCCCGGCGGCGUGUCCCGCAUUCUGCGAAAAUUCGCGGGAGACACGACAAGUAGAUGCGAAAAGGCCAGUUCCGGAAUCCUGCAGCAGCAUACAUUCCGCAGCUGGUGGGUCCCUAAGGCACAAGCUUCCAUGGAGGGCCUGCCUGUUGUGCCAGAGCACAUUCAGUUGCCCAGCGCCGUCGGUCGGUUCCGUUUGCCGCAGGGAGAGGCACACUGCGCUAUUUUUCAAAGCCAGAAUUGAGCCACUAAUGACAGUCUAUUACUUAGUUGGACCGAUUUCCCGCAGCGGCUCUCCUCCGCCGGCCAGUGUCUGCACGUUCGUCUCCACCUCAGGGGGUCUGAAAACCGCGAAACCACUCAAAGCCAUGGCACGAAGCCACAUAUAGGAUGCUUACGUUCGCCUCGUCACAGCAGGCAGGGCCAUGACAGUCACUGACUUCUUCGGUUAAUGACUGUUACCAAGGGAAAAGACAGUUACUGCCAACAGCCGUAGAGCUUCAUAAGGACUGCCCACGGCAAACGCGCCCACACAGGUCAUUGUGUGAAUGUACAAAAGGACGCACGCGUGGAGAACUCCAGAGGGCAACAG